rnacentral:lncRNA from 1 species
AAGUUAUCAAUUUUUAAAGAUGAACGUUGCCAAGACAACAAAGUUAAAUUAUCCAGUCCUGCAAAGGCUCAGAAACUCUUCACUUCACUGAUGAUGGCCCUUCAGCAAACAAGAGGACAACAAAAUAAAUUAUCCACGUGUCAAUGGUCCUUCUGAUCCCAAAGGCUUUCUACACUAAACCUACAACUGACCAG